GACGAACGCUGGCGGCGUGCUUAACACAUGCAAGUCGAACGGACAGGCCCUGCUCUUGUUGGUUGCUCGUGUGGCGAACGGGUGAGUAACACAUGAGUAACCUGCCCUUGUCUUUGGGAUAACUUCACGAAACUGGGGCUCAUACCGGAUAUGAUCUUCUGCUGCAUGGUGGUGGUUGGACAGUUUCGGCUGUUGUGGAUGGUCUCGCGGCUUAUCCGCUUGUUGGUCGGGUAGUGGCUUACCAAGGCUUUGACGGGUAGCCGGCCUGAGAGGGUUACCGGCGACAAUGGGACUGAGAGACGGACCAGAAGCCGACGGGAGGCAGCAGUGGGGAAUAUGGCACAGUAGGGGGGAGCCUGAUGCAGCAACGCCGGGUGCGGGAUGAAGGGCUUCGGGGUGUAAACCGCUGUGGCCUGUGACGAAGCGGGAGUGACGGUAAUGGGUAAAGAAGCACCGGCUAACUACGUG
rnacentral:rRNA from 1 species